CCCCCUUCCCCAGUCCCCUAGGUUAUUCUGAUGAUGUCAUGGCGGUAACCAAGGCGACAUACUGUGACAUCACACCUCAAAGAGUACCCCUGACCUUGGCCUGGAAUUCAAAGGAAAAUCAGCCCAUAAACUUCUAAAGCUAGCAGGAGAUAAGGAGGCCUGACAGAUCACACCAGCCAACAGAACUCCUGUCCAGGGAAGCUGGGAUCAGUUCUUAGAGACUGAUCAGCACUGGGUGUCUGAGGAACAAUCAGGAGCAGGAGCGCUGGUGAUAGAUUAGUGAUGUCUGCGGCGCUGGUGAUAGAUUAGUGAUGUCUGCCACAGAUGUGGUUUGAAAGAAUGGGCAGAUGGGUGGAGAUGGAGCAGACUAAAGCAGGCACAAGCAAGAAGAAGAACAACACAGGGAAAUGGGAGAGCCUCCGCCAUCGCCAUUCCUCCUCCCCCAUCCUAUCCCAGCUGCUUGGAGUCCAGGCCAAGGUGAAGGGCAUGAGACUCUGCAGGC
rnacentral:lncRNA from 1 species